rnacentral:rRNA from 1 species
GACAGCAGCAGCCGCGGUAAUACGUAGGUCCCGAGCGUUGUCCGGAUUUAUUGGGUGUAAAGGGAGCGCAGGCGGUCAGGAAAGUCUGGAGUAAAAGGCUAUGGCUCAACCAUAGUGUGCUCUGGAAACUGUCUGACUUGAGUGCAGAAGGGGAGAGUGGAAUUCCAUGUGUAGCGGUGAAAUGCGUAGAUAUGUGGAGGAACACCAGUGGCGAAAGCGGCUCUCUGGUCUGUCACUGACGCUGAGGCUCGAAAGCGUGGGUAGCGAACAGGAUUAGAUACCCCCGUAGUCCCUGUCUCUUAUACA